rnacentral:rRNA from 1 species
GACGAACGCUGGCGGCGUGCCUAAUACAUGCAAGUAGAACGCAGUUGCGAACGGGUGAGUAACGCGUAGGUAACUGCCUCAUAGCGGGGGAUAACUAUUGGAAACGAUAGCUAAUACCGCAUACUGUGAGAUGGACCUGCGUUGUAUUAGCUAGUUGGUGAGGUAAAGGCCCACCAAGGCGACGAUACAUAGCCGACCUGAGAGGGAGGUCGGCCAAACUGGGAAUGGAACACGGGCCAGACGCCUACGGGAGUAAGCAGUAGGGAAUCUUCGGAAAUGGAAGGAAGUCUGACCGAGGAACGCCGGGGGAGGUAAGAAGGUUUUGGGAUCGUAAAGGUCUGUUGUUAUAGAAGCGUUAACUACCCAGAAAGGGACGGCUAACUACGUGCCAGCAGCCGCGGUAAUAC